UCGGGAAUUUUGGGCAAUGGGCGAAAGCCUGACCCAGCAACGCCGCGUGAGGGAUGAAGGCCUUCGGGUCGUAAACCUCUGUCGAGAGGGAAGAAAGGUCUGCGUACGAACAAUGCGCGGGCUUGACGGUACCUCCAAAGGAAGCACCGGCUAACUCCGUGCCAGCAGCCGCGGUAAUACGGAGGGUGCAAGCGUUGUUCGGAAUCACUGGGCGUAAAGCGCGUGUAGGCGGCCAGGCAAGUCGGUUGUGAAAGCCCGAGGCCCAACCUCGGAACUGCAACCGAAACUGCUUGGCUCGAGUCCCGGAGAGGGUGGCGGAAUUUCCGGUGUAGAGGUGAAAUUCGUAGAUAUCGGAAGGAACACCAGUGGCGAAGGCGGCCACCUGGACGGUGACUGACGCUGAGACGCGAAAGCGUGGGGAGCAAACAGGAUUAGAUACCCCUGUAGUCC
rnacentral:rRNA from 1 species